UAAAGCCCCAAAUGCAAUAACUGAGAUCCCCAAAAAGGUCUGAAUGGUGGCUCAUCGGGAGCCAGCACUUCAGCCCUCCUGCAGGCGUCUGUGCAGACUAAACCCCUGGUGCAUUUCCUGGUGAGCUUUGGCCCAGCCUGGGCCUCUCCACUAAACUCUGCUGACGGGGAGCUCGCAUCCCGUUAUCUGCAAACUGUGCUGACAGAUGCGUGUGCCGUAACCCAUGUUGCUUUCCUUCCGUUCUCUCACCGGCUCUUGGUUGCUCCUUCUCGCCACUGCCUGCCCACCUUCUUGCCAUAGAAAAAGACAUUCACGCUUACACCAGCCUCCGGGGGAGCCAGCCUGCCUCUGAAGGUCAGCCUCUUCCUCCUCGCCGGGGCUCCCCGCAUGCAGCGGGCCCGUUCCUCCCCUCGCCACCUGGCUUCUGUCCACGGGGUGGUCCAUGCCAAGGUUCUUUGUGAAACCUGAAUUCACUUACUUUGGUUGACUUAAGAGAGAUGUUGGAUCUGAUAAGUGGGUUUAUAAAGCAUAAAUGAAGA
rnacentral:sRNA from 1 species